AUGAGCGGCGGGCGCUGGCGGCGGCCCGCAGAGAUGGUGCAGCCGGGGCCCGAGGCGGAGCCGGCGCUGGCGGAGGCGCUGCAGCGGCUGCGGGCGGAGAACCGCGAGCUGAGGAGUGCCCUGUGUCACUGCACGCAGUCCCUGCGGCAGCGCCUGGACGAGCUGCGCCGGCUGCAGCUGCAGCGCCGGGGGGAGCGGGAGCUGCUGCGGGGCCGCUGGGGCCAGGCCCGGCAGCUGGUGCUGCACCUGCGGGGACAGCGCGGGACAGCGCCGGGGACACCGGGGACAGCCCCGGGGACACCGGGGACAGCCGGGGACAGCGCUGGGGACAGCAGGGACAGCGCCGGGGACAGCCCUGGGGACAGCAGGGACACAGCCGGGGACACCAAGGACACCCCCGAGGACAUCAGGGACACACCCAGGGAUGUCAGGGACUCUGCUGAGGACACCAAGGACACCCCUGGGGACAUCAGGGACACCCCUGGGGACACCAAGGACACCUCUGGGGACAUCAGGGACACCCCUGGGGACACCAAGCACACCUCUGGGGACAUCAGCGACACCCCCAGGGACAUCAGGGACACCCUUAGGGACACCAAGGACCCCCCUGGGGACAUCAGGGACACCAAGGACAGCCCUGGGGACAUCAGGGACACUCUCAGGGACACUGGGGACAUCUGCAGGAGCACCCCUGACAGCAGCACCGAGGUACGUGUGGCCCUCCCCGGCUGUGUCCCCACUCUCUGUCCCCCCCACCCCUCCCACUGCACCCACCAUGUCCCCAGUGUGUCCCCCAAUGUCCUCCC
rnacentral:lncRNA from 1 species